rnacentral:rRNA from 1 species
UACGGAGGGUGCGAGCGUUGUCCGGAAUCACUGGGCGUAAAGGGCGCGUAGGCGGCGCAACAAGUCACUUGUGAAAUCUCCGGGCUUAACCCGGAGCGGCCAAGUGAUACUGUCGUGCUAGAGUGCGGAAGGGGCUACUGGAAUUCUCGGUGUAGCGGUGAAAUGCGUAGAUAUCGAGAGGAACACCUGCGGCGAAGGCGGGUAGCUGGGCCGACACUGACGCUGAGGCGCGAAAGCCAGGGGAGCGAACGGG